AACAGCAACAGCAACCGAAUGCCUGGCAGCAGCAGCCAUCAGGAUCUGAUUACAAUAUGGGCGGAGUAGCUGCAGCAACCAACGUGGCACCUGUCAAUCCGAACCUAAAGAACCUGUUUCAAAAUCUUAGCAAAGGAAGAGGAAGAGGAAUGUCAAAUCCUGGCACUUGAGUAUAAUUUAUCUUGGAUCAUGGUGACGACAUUGCAAGCAUGAUGUACACAAAUAUAAAGACUCUGUGGGA